AUAUUCAUCUGGCAGAGGAGAGAUCAUGCUCGUGAAGGUGGUUUUCCAAGGGUGAGGUCUAUUCAUUGCACUCUGGGUGUGCUGACCCCUGUGAUUUCCCCAAAUGUGGGAAACUCAAUUGCAGAAUUUGUGGUAGUGGGGCCUGUGUCGCACUUUGCCCUG
rnacentral:snRNA from 1 species